UUUAUGGAGAGUUUGAUCCUGGCUCAGGAUGAACGCUGGCGGCGUGCCUAAUACAUGCAAGUCGAGCGAACGGACGAGAAGCUUGCUUCUCUGAUGUUAGCGGCGGACGGGUGAGUAACACGUGGAUAACCUACCUAUAAGACUGGGAUAACUUCGGGAAACCGGAGCUAAUACCGGAUAAUAUUUUGAACCGCAUGGUUCAAAAGUAAAAGACGGUCUUGCUGUCACUUAUAGAUGGAUCCGCGCUGCAUUAGCUAGUUGGUAAGGUAACGGCUUACCAAGGCAACGAUGCAUAGCCGACCUGAGAGGGUGAUCGGCCACACUGGAACUGAGACACGGUCCAGACUCCUACGGGAGGCAGCAGUAGGGAAUCUUCCGCAAUGGGCGAAAGCCUGACGGAGCAACGCCGCGUGAGUGAUGAAGGUCUUCGGAUCGUAAAACUCUGUUAUUAGGGAAGAACAUAUGUGUAAGUAACUGUGCACAUCUUGACGGUACCUAAUCAGAAAGCCACGGCUAACUACGUGCCAGCAGCCGCGGUAAUACGUAGGUGGCAAGCGUUAUCCGGAAUUAUUGGGCGUAAAGCGCGCGUAGGCGGUUUUUUAAGUCUGAUGUGAAAGCCCACGGCUCAACCGUGGAGGGUCAUUGGAAACUGGAAAACUUGAGUGCAGAAGAGGAAAGUGGAAUUCCAUGUGUAGCGGUGAAAUGCGCAGAGAUAUGGAGGAACACCAGUGGCGAAGGCGACUUUCUGGUCUGUAACUGACGCUGAUGUGCGAAAGCGUGGGGAUCAAACAGGAUUAGAUACCCUGGUAGUCCACGCCGUAAACAAUGAGUGCUAAGUGUUAGGGGGUUUCCGCCCCUUAGUGCUGCAGCUAACGCAUUAAGCACUCCGCCUGGGGAGUACGACCGCAAGGUUGAAACUCAAAGGAAUUGACGGGGACCCGCACAAGCGGUGGAGCAUGUGGUUUAAUUCGAAGCAACGCGAAGAACCUUACCAAAUCUUGACAUCCUUUGACAACUCUAGAGAUAGAGCCUUCCCCUUCGGGGGACAAAGUGACAGGUGGUGCAUGGUUGUCGUCAGCUCGUGUCGUGAGAUGUUGGGUUAAGUCCCGCAACGAGCGCAACCCUUAAGCUUAGUUGCCAUCAUUAAGUUGGGCACUCUAAGUUGACUGCCGGUGACAAACCGGAGGAAGGUGGGGAUGACGUCAAAUCAUCAUGCCCCUUAUGAUUUGGGCUACACACGUGCUACAAUGGACAAUACAAAGGGCAGCGAAACCGCGAGGUCAAGCAAAUCCCAUAAAGUUGUUCUCAGUUCGGAUUGUAGUCUGCAACUCGACUACAUGAAGCUGGAAUCGCUAGUAAUCGUAGAUCAGCAUGCUACGGUGAAUACGUUCCCGGGUCUUGUACACACCGCCCGUCACACCACGAGAGUUUGUAACACCCGAAGCCGGUGGAGUAACCUUUUAGGAGCUAGCCGUCGAAGGUGGGACAAAUGAUUGGGGUGAAGUCGUAACAAGGUAGCCGUAUCGGAAGGUGCGGCUGGAUCACCUCCUUUCU
rnacentral:rRNA from 1 species